CGUCUUUCAGCUCAAGUCAUUCAUUUCUGUAAGAGUUUGAAUAGGAUAGCUAACGUCUCUCUCUCUAUAAUCCGCUCAAGUCCGGCUUCAUCGUGUUUGUUUUUGGUAUGAGUGCUGCUGUGCAGGGGGUACCCCGGCCAGCUCAGCCCGUAAUGGGAGGAGGGCGAACGGCUGGAUUGUAUCCCAAUAUGCGGCCACCUCACUUGAAACAUGCUCAUUCAAAGACUCAAUUAGAGGAAAAGGUAAAGCAUGAAAAUCUGAACAAGAAAGAAAAGUAAAAUGUUUGUCCUAACAGAAUUACUUUAUCAAGAUCCUGUAAAAGUCCAUCUUAAGGGGUGUAUCUAUCACCAGUCACUAUUAUUCUCAUUCAUGUUUUAACUGUCUCUUAAAUUUUUAAUUCUAUAACCUCCAUAACAUGCUCAUUCUAUUGUGCACUGUGUAAAUAAAUAUGGCAAAGACAAAUGUUUCAUUUAUUAUUGUCUCUUUCAAUAUAUUUAUCUUUGAUAAAUAAUUGUCUCAAAAUUUCUAAACUGAGUACAAAAAUGUUAGAACGGUUUAAUAUUGUUUUAUGAAUGUCUUAUCUAAUAAACAGCUUUGUUAAUUGAAAUUUCUUUGCAAGAAUUCCUUUGAUUGAAUGCUAUGGUUGUCAAAAAAUAAGCUUUACAUUAAAUGUACUUAAAAAAAUUGAAUAAUAAAACAAAUCUUAACAGUUU